UUACGCGAAGAACCUUACCAGGGCUUGACAUCCUGCGAACCUCUGGGAAACCGGAGGGUGCCUUCGGGAACGCAGAGACAGGUGGUGCAUGGCUGUCGUCAGCUCGUGUCGUGAGAUGUUGGGUUAAGUCCCGCAACGAGCGCAACCCACGUCUUUAGUUGCCAGCAUUCAGUUGGGCACUCUAGAGAGACCGCCGGUGACAAACCGGAGGAAGGUGUGGAUGACGUCAAGUCAUCAUGCCCCUUACGUCCUGGGCUACACACGUACUACAAUGCUCACUACAGAGGGACGCAAGACCGCAAGGUGGAGCCAAUCCCUAAAAGGUGAGCCCAGUUCGGAUUGGAGGCUGCAACUCGCCUCCAUGAAGCCGGAAUCGCUAGUAAUGGCGCAUCAGCUACGGCGCCGUGAAUACGUUCCCGGGUCUUGUACACACCG
rnacentral:rRNA from 1 species